rnacentral:rRNA from 1 species
CGCUGGCGGCGUGCUUAACACAUGCAAGUCGAACGGAAAGGCCCUGCUUUUGUGGGGUGCUCGAGUGGCGAACGGGUGAGUAACACGUGAGUAACCUGCCCUUGACUUUGGGAUAACUUCAGGAAACUGGGGCUAAUACCGGAUAGGAGCUCCUGCUGCAUGGUGGGGGUUGGAAAGUUUCGGCGGUUGGGGAUGGACUCGCGGCUUAUCAGCUUGUUGGUGGGGUAGUGGCUUACCAAGGCUUUGACGGGUAGCCGGCCUGAGAGGGUGACCGGCCACAUUGGGACUGAGGUACGGCCCAGACUCCUACGGGAGGCAGCAGUGGGGAAUAUUGCACAAUGGGCGGAAGCCUGAUGCAGCAACGCCGCGUGCGGGAUGACGGCCUUCGGGUUGUAAACCGCUUUCGCCUGUGACGAAGCGUGAGUGACGGUAAUGGGUAAAGAAGCACCGGCUAACUACGUGCCAGCAGCCGCGGUGAUACGUAGGGUGCGAGCGUUGUCCGGAUUUAUUGGGCGUAAAGGGCUCGUAGGUGGUUGAUCGCGUCGGAAGUGUAAUCUUGGGGCUUAACCCUGAGCGUGCUUUCGAUACGGGUUGACUUGAGGAAGGUAGGGGAGAAUGGAAUUCCUGGUGGAGCGGUGGAAUGCGCAGAUAUCAGGAGGAACACCAGUGGCGAAGGCGGUUCUCUGGGCCUUUCCUGACGCUGAGGAGCGAAAGCGUGGGGAGCGAACAGGCUUAGAUACCCUGGUAGUCCACGCUGUAAACGGUGGGUACUAGGUGUGGGGUCCAUUCCACGGGUUCCGUGCCGUAGCUAACGCUUUAAGUACCCCGCCUGGGGAGUACGGCCGCAAGGCUAAAACUCAAAGGAAUUGACGGGGCCCCGCACAAGCGGCGGAGCAUGCGGAUUAAUUCGAUGCAACGCGUAGAACCUUACCUGGGUUUGACAUGGAUCGGGAGUGCUCAGAGAUGGGUGUGCCUCUUUUGGGGUCGGUUCACAGGUGGUGCAUGCCUGUCGUCAGCUCGUGUCGUGAGAUGUUGGGUUAAGUCCCGCAACGAGCGCAACCCUUGUUCACUGUUGCCAGCACGUUAUGGUGGGGACUCAGUGGAGACCGCCGGGGUCAACUCGGAGGAAGGUGGGGAUGACGUCAAGUCCUCAUGCCCCUUAUGUCCAGGGCUUCACGCAUGCUACAAUGGCUGGUACAGAGAGUGGCGAGCCUGUGAGGGUGAGCGAAUCUCGGAAAGCCGGUCUCAGUUCGGAUUGGGGUCUGCAACUCGACCUCAUGAAGUCGGAGUCGCUAGUAAUCGCAGAUCAGCAACGCUGCGGUGAAUACGUUCCCGGGGCUUGUACACACCGCCCGUCAAGUCAUGAAAGUUGGUAACACCCGAAGCCGGAGGCCUAACCGUUGUGGGGGAGCCGUCGAAGGUGGGACUGG